CCCUUAGAUGUUCUGGGCUGCACGCGCGCUACACUGACACGAUCAGCAAGUUUGUCCUUGCCCGGUGGGGCUGGGUAACCUUUUGAAAUCGUGUCGUGAUGGGGAUAGAUUAUUGCAAUUAUUAAUCUUCAACGAGGAAUUCCUAGUAAGUGCAAGUCAUCAGCUUGCGCUGAUUACGUCCCUGCCCUUUGUACACACCGCGCGUCGCUCCUACCGAUUGGGUGAUCCGGUGAAUAAUUCGGACUGCGACAUGUCAGCUGACAUAUUGCGGGAAGUCUAGUGAACCCUAUCACCUAGAGGAAGGAGAAGUCGUAACA
rnacentral:rRNA from 1 species